rnacentral:rRNA from 1 species
CCUACGGGUGGCAGCAGUGGGGAAUAUUGCACAAUGGGGGAAACCCUGAUGCAGCGACGCCGCGUGAAGGACGACGUAUUUCGGUAUGUAAACUUCUAUCAGCAUGGAAGAAAAUGACGGUACCUGACUAAGUAGCUCCGGCUAACUACGUGCCAGCAGCCGCGGUAAUACGUCGGGGGCCAGCGUUAUCCGGAUUUACUGGGUGUAAAGGGAGCGUAGGCGGUUUAGCAAGUCAGAAGUGAAAGCCCGGGGCUCAACUCCGGGACUGCUGUUGAAACUGUUUAACUAGAGUGCAGGAGAGGUAAGUGGAAUUCCUGGUGUAGCGGUGAAAUGCUUAGAUAUUAGGAGGAACACCAGUGGCGAAGGCGGCUUACUGGACUGUAAAUGACGCUGAGGCUCGAAAGUGUGGGGAGCAAACAGGAUUAGAUACCCGAGUAGUC